rnacentral:rRNA from 1 species
UUUAGAGGAAGUAAAAGUCGUAACAAGGUCUCCGUUGGUGAACCAGCGGAGGGAUCAUUAC